UGAAUACGAGAUGCUACGGCGUCGAAGCAGUCUAUGUCAUACUUCCAAGAAAAGCUUGCACUGUCAUAAACAAAUAAUGCCUGUACCAUAACCGACACAGGUGGGUAGGUAGAGCAUACUAAGGGGCGCGAGAUAACUCUCUCUAAGGAACUCGGCAAAAUGACUCCGUAACUUCGGGAGAAGGAGUGCCUUAUUUAUAAGGUUGCAAUAACAAGAUCCAAGCAACUGUUUACCAAAACACAGGUCUCCGCUAAGUCGUAAGACGAUGUAUGGGGGCUGACGCCUGCCCAGUGCCAGAAGGUUAAAGAAGUUGGUUAGCAUCCGCGAAGCUGAUAACUGAAGCCCUGGUGAACGGCGGCCGUAACGAUAACGGUCCUAAGGUAGCGAAAUUCCUUGUCGGGUAAGUUCCGACCCGCACGAAAGGCGUAAUGAUUUGGAUACUGUCUCGGAGAGGGGCUCGGUGAAAUAGACUUGUCUGUGAAGAUGCGGACUACCUGCACCAGGACAGAAAGACCCUAUGAAGCUUUACUGUAACCUGAAAUUGAAAUUGGACUUUACUUGCGCAGUAUAGGUGGGAGGCGUUGAGAAUAUUCUUGCGGGAUUAUUGGAGCCAUCAGUGAGAUACCACUCUUGUAAUGUUAGAUUUCUAACUUUGUAUCAUUAUCUGGUCAAAGAACAGUUUCAGGCGGGCAGUUUGACUGGGGCGGUCGCCUCCUAAACGGUAACGGAGGCGCACAAAGGUUUCCUCUGAACGGGUAGAAAUCGUAUCUAGAGUGUAAAGGCAUAAGGAAGCUUGACUGUGAGACCUACAAGUCGAGCAGGGACGAAAGUCGGUCUUAGUGAUCUGACGGUGCUGAGUGGAAAGGCCGUCACUCAACGGAUAAAAGUUACUCUAAGGAUAACAGGCUGAUCUCCCCCAAGAGUUCACAUCGACGGGGAGGUUUGGCACCUCGAUGUCGGCUCAUCGCAUCCUGGGGCGGUAGUACGUCCCAAGGGUUGGGCUGUUCGCCCAUGAAAGCGGUACGCGAGCUGGGUUCAGAACGUCGUGAGACAGUUCGGUCCAUAUCCGGUGUAGGCGUUAGAAUAUUGAGAGGAGCCUUCUUUAGUACGAGAGGACCGAGAAGGACAUACCUCUGGUGUACCAGUUAUCGUGCCAACGGUAAACGCUGGGUAGCUAUGUGUGGAGUGGAUAACCGCUGAAAGCAUCUAAGUGGGAAGCCCACCUCAAGAUAAGUAUUCUCAU
rnacentral:rRNA from 1 species